AAUGAGUUGGCAGAAUUAUGUGAAUGACUUAGGAUCAUUAUAUAGGGAUUAUCCCUACUCAUUA
rnacentral:tRNA from 1 species